rnacentral:lncRNA from 1 species
UUGUUUUCCUGCCAAUGCCAGCCUUUGGUGUGUACCCCUGAGCCCUCAGUAAGGACUUCUGGCUACAAGUUUUCAGGAAUAGUCUCACUAUGUUGCCCAGGCUGGUCUUGAGCACCUGAUCUCAAGCAAUCCUCCCACCUCGGCCUCCCAAAUCCCUGCUGGGAUUAUAGGAACGGGUUCAGAAUCCCACAUCACAUUCUGUUAUUACUUUUGACUGGUUUCCUGCUGUCUGGAACAGUUUCUGAGUCUUUCUUCAUUUUCAAGAGUGUGAAAGGAUCUCGAGACCUAGUCUGGGAACUACUGGUUUAGAGU